rnacentral:lncRNA from 1 species
ACUUCAGGUGCUUACAUUCAGCUACGUGGUGAACCCCAGUUCCAAAGGACACAUGGCCCAGAAGCUGGGAGAUGGAGCAGAAUUCUGUCUGAGCCAGUCUGACAGAAUUAAGAACGGAGAAGGUAAGGAAGCUCAGAAAUGCUACCUAAAAUCCUAUCUCCAGAAGAAAUCAUUAAAGGAAUUAGGACUUAGGUAAGUCACUGCCCUAGUGGGAUGAGUACAGCCAAUGAUCUCAUUCAGAAAUACUCUCUUUAAGUCAGGCCUCUGUCACAUGGUAGUAAAAGAGUUUGUACAGUUAACUGUGGCUAUACCCUGCCUGGUUUGCAGUAAGAAGCAAUACCCAAGUGUCUCAUGUACCAACAGACCAUGGAGGUGACAGCAUUUUCAAGAGGCUGAGACAGUGCCACCUGAGUGAGGUUCUGCAGGUGGACUCUGGAAAGAGGCAUUAGACUUGAGGUGUCCACUAGACCCAGUGCUGCCUGGUGUCCUCAGCACAGAGGCGAGGUGUGCUAUACAGUGAGCAUCUGCAAUGGUGACAUUGCGGAGGUUUUACCAGAAGGUUCACAGGGACCUAAGAGACUGAGACUGAACUGCAGUUAUGAAGCUCUGUGUGGAUCCGACCCAGGCAAUCUACAGGUGGAAAUGAAUCUCUUGGCUUGGAAAAAAAAGAAUAAAAUAAAAGGUACCCAGCCUUCCCUGCACAAAAUCACCUUACCUCUAGAGCUGGAUUCUGCGAAGAGGACGGAGCACGGAGCACAGCUCCAGUGAAGAAAAAGGAGCUCACAAAGAACGGGCGCUGGGGUGUGGGCUGCCUCCCCGUGUGCUGCAGUAAUUGGAUGGAAUGCAGCAACCCCAGCAAAGUGCCAACAAGCAAACAGAAAAUCUAGGCAUCCGGGAGGCAGCUGGGCUUCUUAAUUAUUGGCAAAUAUAUUUAUAUAUAAAUAUUUUGCC